AUUGAACGCUGGCGGCAGGCCUAACACAUGCAAGUCGAACGAGUGGCGGACGGGUGAGUAAUGUCUGGGAAACUGCCCGAAGGAGGGGGAUAACUACUGGAAACGGUAGCUAAUACCGCAUACCAUCGGAUGUGCCCAGAUGGGAUUAGCUAGUAGGUGGGGUAAUGGCUCACCAGUGCGACGAUCCCUAGAUGGUCUGAGAGGAUGACCAGCGACACUGGAACUGAGACACGGUCCAGACUCCGAAGGGAGGCAGCAGUGGGGAAUAUUGCACAAUGGGCGCAAGCCGGAUGCAGCCAUGCCGCGUGUAUGAAGAAGGCCUUCGGAUUGUAAAGUACUUUCAGCGAGGAGGCGUUACUCGCAGAGGAAGCACCGGCUAACUCCGUGCCAGCAGCCGCGGUAAUUC
rnacentral:rRNA from 1 species